GGGGAAAUAGUUCAACUGGUAGAACAUUGGACUUGCAUGCCUGAGGUUCCUGGUUUGAUCCCUGGUGCACCCU
rnacentral:tRNA from 1 species